UAAACACUCCUUCCGUCUGGAAAUGCUUGUCGGUGAAACGGAUAAAAAUAGAUGUAUCUAGAACUAAAAUACGUCUAGACACAUCCGUUUCACCGAUAAGUAUUUCCGGACAGAGGGAGUAGAAC
rfam:Triticum aestivum genome assembly, contig: Triticum_aestivum_CS42_TGACv1_scaffold_210940_3AS